UGGGGAAUCAUGGUCAAUGGGCGAAAGCCUGAACCUGCGACGCCGCGUGAGUGAUGAAGGUCGUAAGAUCGUAAAACUCUUUUCAGGGAUCUUAAAGCCUGUCUGUCAACAAAAGGCAGGUCUGACUCUCCCUGGAAGAAGCCCCAGCCAACUACGUGCCAGCAGCUGCGGUACUACGUAGGGGGCGAGCGUUAUUCGGAAUUACUGGGUGUAAAGGGUAUGUAGGCGGCCCUUCAAGUCGCGUGUCAAAGCCCAGUGCUCAACGCUGGGUGUGCACGCGAUGAUGGCGGGCGUGAGGGCUGGAGAGGUGAGCGGAAUUCCCGGUGUAGUGGUAAAAUACGUAGAGAUCGGGAGGAACACCAGCGGCGCAGGCGGCUCACUAGACAGUUUCUGACGCUAAGAUACGAAAGCGUGGGGAGCAAACA
rnacentral:rRNA from 1 species